GACGAACGCUGGCGGCGUGCUUAACACAUGCAAGUCGAGCGGAAAGGCCACUUCGGUGGUACUCGAGCGGCGAACGGGUGAGUAACACGUGAGUAAUCUGCCCCUCACUCAGGGAUAACCAUUGGAAACGGUGGCUAAUACCUGAUAUGACCACGUCUCGCAUGGGGUGUGGUGGAAAGCGUUUAGUGGUGAGGGAUGUGCUCGCGGCCUACCAGCUUGUUGGUGAGGUAGUGGCUCACCAAGGCUUCGACGGGUAGCCGGCCUGAGAGGGUGACCGGCCACACUGGGACUGAGACACGGCCCAGACUCCUACGGGAGGCAGCAGUGGGGAAUAUUGGACAAUGGGCGAAAGCCUGAUCCAGCAACGCCGCGUGAGGGAUGACGGCCUUCGGGUUGUAAACCUCUUUCACCCAUGACGAAGCGCAAGUGACGGUAGUGGGAGAAGAAGGACCGGCCAACUACGUGCCAGCCGCCGCAGUAAAAC
rnacentral:rRNA from 1 species